rnacentral:rRNA from 1 species
UGGAUAGACGUGAGAUCCCCUGUCUCUUUUUUACUAUUUUGAAACUAAUCUUGAAGUGAAAAAGCUUUAAUGAUAAGAAAAGACAAGAAGACCCUAUCAAUUUUAAACUUUAUCCUUUAUUUAUGAGGUGAUUUUUUGGUUGGGGCAACAGACAAGGAAAAGCAUCCUUUUUUUUUUAGGUUUUUGUAGAGAACCGACCCAAAAUUUUUGAAUAAUGAAAUAAAUACUGUAGGGAUAACAGCAUAAUUUUUUUUUGGAGCCCUUAUCUGAAUAAAAGCUUAUGACCUCGAUGUUGGACUAAGGUAACUUUUUGGCGCAGAAGCUUUAUAAG